rnacentral:rRNA from 1 species
CAGUCGAGGGGCAGCAUGGACCCAGCUUUGCUGGGUUUGAUGGCGACCGGCGCACGGGUGAGUAACGCGUAUCCAACCUGCCCUUUACUCCGGGAUAGUCUCCUGAAAGGGAGUUUAAUACCGGAUGUGUUUGUCUUUCCGCAUGGGAGCGACAAAUAAAGAUUAAUUGGUAAAGGAUGGGGAUGCGUCCCAUUAGCUUGUUGGCGGGGUAACGGCCCACCAAGGCGACGAUGGGUAGGGGUUCUGAGAGGAAGGUCCCCCACAUUGGAACUGAGACACGGUCCAAACUCCUACGGGAGGCAGCAGUGAGGAAUAUUGGUCAAUGGGCGGGAGCCUGAACCAGCCAAGUAGCGUGAAGGACGACGGCCCUACGGGUUGUAAACUUCUUUUAUAAGGGAAUAAAGUUCGCCACGUGUGGUGUUUUGUAUGUACCUUAUGAAUAAGCAUCGGCUAAUUCCGUGCCAGCAGCCGCGGUAAUACGGAAGAUGCGAGCGUUAUCCGGAUUUAUUGGGUUUAAAGGGAGCGUAGGCGGGCUUUUAAGUCAGCGGUCAAAUGUCGUGGCUCAACCAUGUCAAGCCGUUGAAACUGUAAGCCUUGAGUCUGCACAGGGCACAUGGAAUUCGUGGUGUAGCGGUGAAAUGCUUAGAUAUCACGAAGAACUCCGAUCGCGAAGGCAUUGUGCCGGGGCAUAACUGACGCUGAGGCUCGAAAGUGCGGGUAUCA